GUCUCCUCACUGAGAACAGGCUUUGAAACUUGGAGUAUUCUUCUGGAGGCAAAAGGCCACUGUUUUGAUGUUCAUAGGAGGCCUGUAUGUCCUCAGGUUGGCCCUGUGAAGGAUUACAGGAUUACUGUCCAGUGAGAUCCAUUCGAUAGCUACUUAUGGCACCGUUGCAAGCAAUAAUUUUCAGAGGGAGUUGGAUGCAAUCCUAAGUGUUUACCCCACCUCCAUUGCAAAGAGCCCAGUGGAUACGUCUGCAUGUCCGGAGACAGUGGCAAGUGGCCUUAGCCAGGAGGAGGAGGAGGAGGAGGAGGUCAUAGAUGAAGAGAAGGAGGCUGAGGAAGCUGUGGAGCCAGUUGCUGUGUGCACUCAGGACCCCUUCUCCACUCUGGAGGUGUCUAGCCAGUGUGAGCGGCCACUGUCUGCUGAGGCAGAGGCAGGAGAGCAGAGCUCUGAAAUGACUCUGGAAGACCCACCCCUCACUGUAGCAGAGCGUCUGCGAUGCAUUAGAAAGCAGCCAAGAUGCACUAAAGCAGACAUGUUUCGUGAUUCUGCACUCGCAAGCGGAGAUACAUGAUAAAAAUAAAUGGAGAGAAACCAUGUCAAAGUGGGAAAAGGGAGAGAACAGAGACCGAAAAGAGAAUAAUAC